rnacentral:rRNA from 1 species
AUCAUGGACUCAGGAUGAACGCUGGCGUGCGUCGCCUAACUACAAUGCAAUGUAGAACGACUGAAGCUUGGUGACUUGCCACCGAGCGGAUGAGUUGCGAACGGGUGAGUAACGCGUUAGGUAACCCUGCCUCUUAGCGCUGGGGACUAACUAUUGGAAACGAAUAGCUAAUACCGCAUAAAAGUCGACCAUCGCAGUGAUCGUUGACAUUGAAACGGUGCAUAUUGCCAUCACUAAAGAGAAUGGACCUCGCGUUGUAUUAGCUAGCUUGGUGAGGCUAACGGCUCAACCAAGGCGACGAUACAUAGCCCGACCUGAGAGGGUGAUCGGCCACACUGGGACUGAGACACGGCCCAGACUCCUACGGGAGGCAGCAGUAGGGAAUCUUCGGCAAUGGGGGCAACCCUGACCGAGCAACGCCGCGUGAGUGAAGAAGGUUUUCGGAUCGUAAAGCUCUGUUGUAAGAGAAGAACGAGUGUGAGAGUGGAAAGUUCACACUGUGACGGUAACUUACCAGAAAGGGACGGCUAACUACGUGCCAGCAGCCGCGGUAAUACGUAGGUCCCGAGCGUUAUCCGGAUUUAUUGGGCGUAAAGCGAGCGCAGGCGGUUAGAUAAGUCUGAAGUUAAAGGCUGUGGCUUAACCAUAGUACGCUUUGGGAAACUGUUUAACUUGAGUGCAGAACGGGGAGAGUGGAAUUUCCAUGUGUAGCGGUGAAAUGCGUAGAUAUAUGGAGGAACACCGGUGGCGAAAGCCGCUCUCUGGUUCUGUAACUGACGCCUGAGGCUCGAAAGCGUGGGGAGCGAACAGGAUUAGAUACCUUGUUAGUCCAGCGCCGUUAACGAUGAAUGGCUAGGUAUUGGGUGCCUUUACGGAACUCUGAUGCCGCAGCUAACGCAUUAAGCACUCCGCCUGGGGAGUACGUCCGCAAGGUUGCAACUCAAAGGAAUUGACGG